rnacentral:rRNA from 1 species
AUACUUGGGAGUCAGACUGUGGGUGAUAAGAUUCAUAGUCGAAAGGGCAACAGCCAGAUCGUCAGCUAAGGUCCCUAAAUGUAAGUUAAGUGGUAAAGGAUGUGGGAUUGCACAGACAACCAGGAUGUUGGCUUAGAAGCAGCCACUCAUUCAAAGAGUGCGUAAUAGCUCACUGGUCGAGUGAUCCUGCGCCGAAGAUUUCCGGGGCUAAAACUUACUACCGAAGCUACGGCAUCAGUAAUGAUGGGUAGGGGAGCUUCCCAUACGGGUUGAAGCAUGACCGUAAGGACAUGUGGA